CGAUGAUCCGAAUUGCCCUACAUCGCCGCUUCCUGAUCAUCCUAACAACCAAGUGUAUUACGAGUAUGAGAGCGACAGUGAUGGAGAGUGCCCGCCUACCCCGGAGCCGGCCACGUUAGAAUCAGAAGACUACAUCGAUGGUGAUGAGGCGUUCUCACCCUAUCUGCGAAGUUGCCCGGGGUAUGCAAAUAUCGCGUUGGAGCACUACAACACCCAAAA